rnacentral:rRNA from 1 species
CCUACGGGGGGCAGCAGUGGGGGAUAUUGCACAAUGGGGGAAACCCUGAUGCAGCGACGCCGCGUGUGGGAAGACGGUCCUCUGGAUUGUAAACCACUGUCCCCAGGGACGAAGAUGACGGUACCUGGGGCGGAAGCUCCGGCUAACUACGUGCCAGCAGCCGCGGUAAUACGUAGGGAGCGAGGGUUGUCCGGAAUUACUGGGUGUAAAGGGAGCGUAGGCGGGACUGCAAGUUGGGUGUCAAAUCUACCGGCUCAACCGGUAGCCGCACUUAAAACUGCAGUUCUUGAGUGAAGUAGAGGCAGGCGGAAUUCCUAGUGUAGCGGUGAAAUGCGUAGAUAUUAGGAGGAACACCAGUGGCGAAGGCGGCCUGCUGGGCUUUUACUGACGCUGAGGCUCGAAAGUGUGGGGAGCAAACAGGAUUAGAUACCCGUGUAGUC